rnacentral:lncRNA from 1 species
ACCACGAGCAGCAGGCGCUGCCAGAAACGGCUCCAGGAGGCUGCGGGGGGAGGGGAAAAAAACACCCAAAUUAUCCCGAAUUUACCCCAAAAUUAUCCCAAAAUAAACCCCAAAUUAUCCUGAAUUUACCCCAAAAUUAUCCCAAAAUGAACCCCAAAUGAUCCCGAAUUUACCCCAAAAUUUAACCCAAAUUAUCCCCAAAAUUAUCCCGAAUUUACCCCAAAAUUUACCCCAAAAUAAACCCAAAAUUAUCGCGAAUUUACCCCAAAAUUAUCCCGAAUUUAUCCCAAAAAAACCCCAAAAUUAUCCCAAAAUAAACCCCAAAUUAUCCCGAAUUUACCCCAAAAUUUAACCCAAAUUAUCCCCAAAUUAUCCCGAAUUUACCCCAAAAUUAUCCCAAAAUAAACCCCAAAUUAUCACGAAUUUACCCCAAAAUUUACCCCAAAAUAAACCCAAAAUUAUCCCAAAUUCCCCAAAAUCCCACAAUUUUUUUUCCAAAUUCCCCCAAAAUUCCCAAAAUUUCCCCCCAAAAUUCCCAAAUUUCCCCCAAAAUUCCCGAAUUUUCCCAAAAAUCCCAAAUUUUCCCCCAAAAAUUCCUAAAAUUCCCAAAAAUCCCCAAAUUUUCCCCCAAAAUUCCCAAAAUUUCCCCCCAAAAUCCCAAAUUGUUCCCAAAAUUCCCAAAUUUCCCCCAAAAUUCCCAAUUUUUUCGUCAAAAUUUCUCAAUUUUUACCCCGAAAUUCCCAAAUUUUCCCCCCAAAAUUCCCAAAUUUCCCCAAAAAAUUCCCAAAUUUUCCCCAGAAUUCCCAAAUUUUCCUCAAAAAUCCCAAAAUUUCCCCCAAAAUCCCAAAAUUUCCCCCCAAAAUCCCAAAUUUUCCCCAAAAAUCCCCAAAUUUUCCUCAAAAAUCCCAAAAUUUCCCCCCAAAAUCCCAAAUUUUUCCCCAAAAUUCCCCCCAAAAAUUCCCAAAAAUCCCCAAAAUUCCCAAAUUUCCCCCACAAUUCCCAAAUUUUCCCCCAAAAUUUCUGAAUUUUUCCCCAAAAUUCCCAAAUUUUCCCCCAAAAUUUCCCAAAUUUCCCCAAAAAAUUCCCAAAUUUUCCCCAGAAUUCCCAAAAAUCCCCAAAAUCCCAAAAUUUCCCCCCAAAAUCCCAAAUUUUUUCCAAAAAUUCCCAAAAAUCCCAAAUUUUUCCCCCAAAAUUCCCCCCAAAUUUUCCCAAAAAUCCCCAAAAUUC